CUAACUAUGCUUCCAACGAUCUCUAGGAACAUUCAGUGCCUUCGCUAUCUUUUUGUAUCCUGUUCUUUGUUUGUGUAUGGCAAUGAUCUCUUCUCUUAAGUUUGUGGACCAUUCUUUUGUCCUAGCCAUAUCUCUAACAUGCAGUCAAACGUGACACUCAGCAAACCCCUAGCCAGUACAGGUAUUUAAAGUGCUCCGGCUUAAUCACACCUAGUGCAACUAGGUGAACAACACCUGUUUUGCAUAUUUAUGUUGUUUCAGGUAUUCUAUUCAGGGGUUUUAUUAAUUUUGAGACUGGAG